rnacentral:rRNA from 1 species
UGGGGAAUAUUGCACAAUGGGCGCAAGCCUGAUGCAGCCAUGCCGCGUGUAUGAAGAAGGCCUUCGGGUUGUAAAGUACUUUCAGUCGGGAGGAAGGUGUCAAGGUUAAUAACCUUGGCAAUUGACGUUACCGACAGAAGAAGCACCGGCUAACUCCGUGCCAGCAGCCGCGGUAAUACGGAGGGUGCAAGCGUUAAUCGGAAUUACUGGGCGUAAAGCGCACGCAGGCGGUUGAUUGAGUCAGAUGUGAAAUCCCCGGGCUUAACCCGGGAAUUGCAUCUGAUACUGGUCAGCUAGAGUCUUGGAGAGGGGGGUAGAAUUCCAUGUGUAGCGGUGAAAUGCGUAGAGAUGAGGAGGAAUAGCGGUGGCGAAGGCGGCCCCCUGGACAAAGACUGACGCUCAGGUGCGAAAGCGUGGGGAGCAAACAGG